UUGUUAGAUACCACUGGGCACAUUCCUAACGUGGAGGUCGUUUGCAUAGCUCAUGUUAGUCUACGGACGGUCUGACAUUGCUCGUCCAUAUUUUGAUGUAUUCCAAUUCCAUUUGGGUGUAUUGUGUGGAAUGUUGGAAAAUGGUUCGAUCUUACUUGUUAGACUUGACUGUGCUGUUGGAGCUCGUAACACAAGCAUUUCUGCUAAACAGGUGUAUGUAUAUCUCUCUAGUCACCCCCAAACCCAAUUCUUUCUUUGGCCGCAUCUCCUUCCAGGUCUCUGCUGCCAAUGACUGGAAGGAAGUCCAAAAAUCUCUGAAACUGGAAACACUUAUCUCCCUCACUAGCUUUAAGCACCAACUGUCAGAGCAUCUUACAGAUUACUGCACCUGUACAUAGCCCACCUAUAGUUUAGGCCAAACAACUACCUCUUUCCCUACUGUAUUUAAUGAAUUUAUUUUGCUCCUAUGCACCCCAUUAUUUUUAUUUCUACUUUGCACAUUUCUUCCAUUGCAAAUGUACAAUUCCAGUGUUUGACUUGCUAUAUUGUAUUUACUUUGCCACCAUGGCCUUUUUUUUGCCUUUACCUCCCCUAUCUCACCUCAUUUGCUCACAUCGUAUAUAGAGUUGUUUAUACUGUAUUAUUGACUGUAUGUUUGUUUUACUCCAUGUGUAAGUCUGUGUCGUAGUAUGUGUCGAACUGCUUUGCUUUAUCUUGGCCAGGUCGCAAUUGUAAAUGAGAAGUUGUUCUCAACUUGCCUACCUGGUUAAUUAAAUAAAGGUGAGAAGAUUAAAAAAAGGGGAAAAAAUGUGGCUAUUUGAUUAGGACUUUUCUUCUAUGUGUCGCAACUCCAUUUCCACUUUAUGUCCCCGUUAGGGAGGUGUAAUUUAUGCUGCAGGCUAAUUACAAAAUUGUGGUCCAAGUUCAACUCCUAGCCUAUAGGGUGUGGUAACAGGCCCUCUGUUAUUUGUUGUUGUACUCUGCAUGUGAAGUACUCUGCAUGUGAAGUAUCUGCACUGUAGCCUAUAGAAGAAGUAAGCCCUUGUUAAUAGGGGAACGCAAGCAGUUGAAGGGAACAAGUGACAGAGUCUAACCUGCUGUUGAACACAAACUCCCAGUCCUAUGAUGUUGCUCUGUGAAGAAGCUGCAUCCCAGCAAGUUGAAGGCCGGCAGCCACUAAGUAGAGGAAUGUUUUACAGCGUUUCAGCUUGCAGAGGUAUCACCACCCUUCCCAUGGCCACCUGGAUCCUGUCUAGGGAAGAAAACGAAGAAUGAUGUUAUUACAUGGCCUUCAAGAGCUACAUGACUGCUGAGGUGACAUAUCGGACCCCUUAGGAUUUGUGGCAUUCCUUGUGUAUU